GACGAACGCUGGCGGCGUGCUUAACACAUGCAAGUCGAACGGAAAGGCCCCCAUCUUGGUGGGGGUGCUCGAGUGGCGAACGGGUGAGUAACACGUGGGUGAUCUGCCCUGUACUUCGGGAUAAGCUUGGGAAACUGGGUCUAAUACCGGAUAGGACCAUGGUUUAGUGUCUCAUGGAGGAAAGAUUAUUGUUUUGGUGCAGGAUGAGCUCGCGGCCUAUCAGCUUGUUGGUGGGGUAAUGGCCUACCAAGGCGUCGACGGGUAGCCGGCCUGAGAGGGUGGACGGCCACAUUGGGACUGAGAUACGGCCCAGACUCCUACGGGAGGCAGCAGUGGGGAAUAUUGCACAAUGGGCGCAAGCCUGAUGCAGCGACGCCGCGUGGGGGAUGACGGCCUUCGGGUUGUAAACUCCUUUCGUUAGGGACGAAGCCGCACUUUUUUUGGGUGUGGUGACGGUACCUUUGUUAAGAAGCACCGGCUAACUACGUG
rnacentral:rRNA from 1 species